ACAUAACCAAAAAAAAAAUCAAUUAGCAAAUUCACACGUUUUUGGCAACAAAUCUUUUCUCUGGUAUUUCUUUGUAAAUACCAUCAAGAAGACCAGGUGAGUGAACGACAGUUUGGUUGGAGCACCUUUUUUCUACACCUAGAGCAGGAGCAACACAUUUGGCCCCAACAAUUGGAGUAGCGGCGAAAUACAUAAGAGCAACUGCAACAAUAAUUUCGCCAGCGCUCCAGAAAAGCAGCAGCACAAAUACCGCCAGGGCUCCGGCGGUAAGUAUAAAGAGUAAGUGCAGUGAAAGUGAAAGUGAAGUGCAGUGAGGUUAAAAGUAGCGCCGGCUGUAUUGCCAUUUGUCGAGGCGCGAGUGCGGAACGCCGGCACUAGGUGCCAUACCGUCAGGCGUCAGUGCGCCUCGCUGCACGGCCCCUACCAGCGGCCGAUAGUUAGUAAGAGCGCCGGCUGUAUUGCCAUUGAGGAGGCGCAAGUGCUGAACGCCGGCACUAGGUGCCAUACAGUCAGGCGAUCAGUGCGAAACAAGGCCCCCACCAAGCGGUCCAACGCGAUAGCAAAUUCGCACCAGCAAGGCCCCCACCAGUGGUCCACCGCGGGAGCAACACGCAAUUUAAAGGCCCCCACCAAGUGGUCCACCGCGAUAGCAAGUUCGCACCAGCAAGGCCCCCACCAAGUGGCCCAUCGCGGGAGCACAGCCCCAUUAGUGGCAACAGAGUAAGCUGUAAGAUAAGGUAAGCCUUUCAAUUUGCCACGUCUAUUCGCGAAAAACGACUGGGAAAGGGGUGCGAAAAUUGCAAUAGGUCGUGCGUGAGUCCCAGAGCCACCCCUUCCAUAUAUAAGUAUAUAUAUACAUAUAUAUUUUUUUUUAAUACGUAUACAUUUUCGAAAUUUGAACGGUAUCGGGGUAGGAUAAUCCGUUCCUUUUCGCGAAAUUCGAGCGGUAAAGUGGUGGAGGAAUAGCGGAAAUUCCUUUGGGUUACCGUAUCCACACACCGUUGUGUUUAUAUAUAUAUA